GUCGAGUGGGCUGAAGACUCGCACAGUUCCGUCAGCGCAGCUGCAGAAGAUCCGGUCCCAGGACAGAGACAGUGACUGGGCCACACUGGUCCACCCACUUAUCCAGCAUCCUGUUGCCGUUAAACUCGCACAGAAGGCCGGAGUAGGUGACGCAGAAGGUAGAGUCGGAUUUUUGACCUCGUCCGCAGGCUACGUCGCAGAAGAAGUUGUUCCUCAGCUCGCCCAGAAGACCCGAACGGCCCAGCAGAGGCACCGGGGUGCUGGCCUAAAACAAGACCAGCUCAUGAUUUGCCUCAUUACCUUCCAAAUGCACCCUAACAUGUAAUUUAUAGCCAACACAAAAUAAUGUGUGUUGGUGAAUAAAUGUCCAGGUCAAGCGAA